rnacentral:rRNA from 1 species
GGGCCCGCACAAGCGGUGGAGCAUGUGGUUUAAUUCGAUGAUACGCGAGGAACCUUACCAGGGCUUAAAUGCAGAACGACAGAGGUGGAAACACCUCCUUCUUCGGACGGUCUGCAAGGUGCUGCAUGGUUGUCGUCAGCUCGUGCUGUGAAGUGUCGGGUUAAGUCCCAUAACGAGCGCAACCCCUAUUUCUAGUUGCCAGCGGUUCGGCCGGGGACUCUAGAGAAACUGCCAGCGUAAGCUGUGAGGAAGGUGGGGAUGAGUCAAUCAAUCACGCCGCUUACGUCCUGGGCUACACACGUGCUACAAUGGUAGGGACAGAGAGUUGCCAACCCGCGAGGGUGAGCU